rnacentral:rRNA from 1 species
GAGAGGAAGGUCCCCCACAUUGGUACUGAGACACGGACCAGACUCCUACGGGAGGCAGCAGUGAGGAAUAUUGGUCAAUGGGCGUAAGCCUGAACCAGCCAAGUCGCGUGAGGGAUGAAGGUUCUAUGGAUCGUAAACCUCUUUUAUAAGGGAAUAAAGUGUGGGACGUGUCCUAUUUUGUAUGUACCUUAUGAAUAAGGAUCGGCUAACUCCGUGCCAGCAGCCGCGGUAAUACGGAGGAUCCGAGCGUUAUCCGGAUUUAUUGGGUUUAAAGGGUGCGUAGGCGGCCUUUUAAGUCAGCGGUGAAAGUCUGUGGCUCAACCAUAGAAUUGCCGUUGAAACUGGGGGGCUUGAGUAUGUUUGAGGCAGGCGGAAUGCGUGGUGUAGCGGUGAAAUGCUUAGAUAUCACGCAGAACCCCGAUUGCGAAGGUAGCCUGCCAAGCCAUGACUGACGCUGAUGCACGAAAGCGUGGGGAUCAAACAGGAUUAGAUACCCUGGU